rnacentral:rRNA from 1 species
AACGAACGCUGGCGGCAUGCCUAACACAUGCAAGUCGAACGAGACCUUCGGGUCUAGUGGCGCACGGGUGCGUAACGCGUGGGAACCUGCCCUUAGGUUCGGAAUAACUCCCCGAAAGGGGUGCUAAUACCGGAUAAUGUCUUCGGACCAAAGAUUGAUCGCCUUUGGAUGGGCCCGCGUUGGAUUAGCUAGUUGGUAGGGUAAAAGCCUACCAAGGCGACGAUCCAUAGCUGGUCUGAGAGGAUGAUCAGCCACACUGGGACUGAGACACGGCCCAGACUCCUACGGGAGGCAGCAGUGGGGAAUAUUGGACAAUGGGCGGAAGGAUGAUCCAGCAAGGCCGCGUGAGUGAUGAAGGCCUUAGGGUUGUAAAGCUCUUUUAUCCGGGAUGAUAAUGACAGUACCGGGAGAAUAAGCUCCGGCUAACUCCGUG